rnacentral:tRNA from 1 species
GCCCCCGUAGUUCAAUGGAUAGAACAGUCCCGUCCUAAGGGAUAGAUGUGGGUUCGAUUCUUGCCGGGGGCA